rnacentral:rRNA from 1 species
AGCAGACGCUAUGACUAGGCACGUCGUUUUACAGUUCAGGAAAUCAGCUAUGACUGGGAGUCGUUUUCACUUAUGGAACCAGGUAUGAACGCUGGGCCUACUUGCUUAACACAGGCAAUUCGAGGGGAAACGACAUCUAAAGCUUGCUUUUGAUGGGCGUCGACCGGCGCACGGGUUGAGUAACGCGUAUCCAACCUGCCCACCACUUGGGGAUAACCUUGCGAAAGUAAGACUAAUACCCAAUGAUAUCUCCAGAAGACAUCUGAAAGAGAUUAAAGAUUUAUCGGUGAUGGAUGGGGAUGCGUCUGAUUAGCUUGUUGGCGGGGUAACGGCCCACCAAGGCAACGAUCAGUAGGGGUUCUGAGAGGAAGGUCCCCCACAUUGGAACUGAGACACGGUCCAAACUCCUGCGGGAGGCAGCAGUGAGGAAUAUUGGUCAAUGGACGAGAGUCUGAACCAGCCAAGUAGCGUGCAGGAUGACGGCCCUAUGGGUUGUAAACUGCUUUUAUAAGGGAAUAAAGUGAGUCUCGUGAGACUUUUUGCAUGUACCUUAUGAAUAAGGACCGGCUAAUUCCGUGCCAGCAGCCGCGGUAAUACGGAAGGUCCGGGCGUUAUCCGGAUUUAUUGGGUUUAAAGGGAGCGUAGGCCGGAGAUUAAGCGUGUUGUGAAAUGUAGACGCUCAACGUCUGCACUGCAGCGCGAACUGGUUUCCUUGAGUACGCACAAAGUGGGCGGAAUUCGUGGUGUAGCGGUGAAAUGCUUAGAUAUCACGAAGAACUCCGAUUGCGAAGGCAGCUCACUGGGAGCGCAACUGACGCUGAAGCUCGAAAGUGCGGGUAUCGAACAGGAUUAGAUACCCUGGUAGUCCGCACGGUAAACGAUGGGAUGCCCGCUGUUGGUCUGAAUAGGUCAGCGGCCAAGCGAAAGCAUUAAGCAUCCCACCUGGGGGUCCUUUUCCGGUCACGUGAAACUCAAGUUGAUCGGAGGCGAUCGCGGCC